GCGAAGCUGGAAGACGGGAAAACGUGAGGAUGUGAAAAGCGUGACGUACGGCUGUGAGGGGACUGCAGGGAAACCAUAAGGGGAAGCUGACACGUGGAGCAGGAGAGCUGCAGGGCGAUGGAGGUGACACGUGGAGGAGGAGAGCUGCAGGGCGAUGGAGGGGACACGUGGAGGAGAGCUGCAGGGCGAUGGAGGUGACACGUGGAGGAGGAGAGCUGCAGGGCGAUGGAGGUGACACGUGGAGGAGGAGAGCUGCAGGGCGAUGGAGGUCUGUGUGGAGGUGACACGUGGAGGAGGAGAGCUGCAGGGGGAUGGAGGUGACACGUGGAGGAGGAGAGCUGCAGGGCGAUGGAGGGGACACGUGGAGGAGAGCUGCAGGGCGAUGGAGGUGACACGUGGAGGAGGAGAGCUGCAGGGCGAUGGAGGUGACACGUGGAGGAGGAGAGCUGCAGGGCGAUGGAGGUCUGUGUGGAGGUGACACGUGGAGGAGGAGAGCUGCAGGGCGAUGGAGGUGACACGUGGAGGAGGAGAGCUGCAGGGCGAUGGAGGUCUGUGUGGAGGUGACACGUGGAGGAGGAGAGCUGCAGGGCGAUGGAGGUCUGUGUGGAGGUGACACGUGGAGGAGGAGAGCUGCAGGGCGAUGGAGGUCUGUGUGGAGGUGACACAUGGAGGUGGAGAGCUGCAGGGCGAUGGAGGUCUGUGUGGAGGUGACACAUGGAGGUGGAGAGCUGCAGGGCGAUGGAGGUCUGUGUGGAGGUGACACGUGGAGGAGGAGAGCUGCAGGGCGAUGGAGGUCUGUGUGGAGGUGACACGUGGAGGAGGAGAGCUGCAGGGGGAUGGAGGUCUGUGUGGAGGUGACACGUGGAGGAGGAGAGCUGCAGGGCGAUGGAGGUCUGUGUGGAGGUGACACGUGGAGGAGGAGAGCUGCAGGGGGAUGGAGGUCUGUGUGGAGGUGACACGUGGAGGAGGAGAGCUGCAGGGCGAUGGAGGUGACACGUGGAGGAGGAGAGCUGCAGGGCGAUGGAGGUCUGUGUGGAGGUGACACGUGGAGGUGGAGAGCUGCAGGGCGAUGGAGGUCUGUGUGGAGGUGACACGUGGAGGAGGAGAGCUGCAGGGCGAUGGAGGUCUGUGUGGAGGUGACACGUGGAGGAGGAGAGCUGCAGGGCGAUGGAGGUCUGUGUGGAGGUGACACGUGGAGGAGGAGAGCUGCAGGGCGAUGGAGGUCUGUGUGGAGGUGACACGUGGAGGAGGAGAGCUGCAGGGCGAUGGAGGUCUGUGUGGAGGUGACACGUGGAGGAGGAGAGCUGCAGGACGAUGGAGGUCUGUGUGGAGGUGACACAUGGAGGAGGAGAGCUGCAGGGUGAUGGAGGUCUGUGUGGAGGUGACACAUGGAGGUGGAGAGCUGCAGGGCGAUGGAGGUCUGUGUGGAGGUGACACAUGGAGGUGGAGAGCUGCAGGGCGAUGGAGGUCUGUGUGGAGGUGACACGUGGAGGAGGAGAGCUGCAGGGCGAUGGAGGUCUGUGUGGAGGAGGAGAGCUGCAGGGCGAUGGAGGUCUGUGUGGAGGUGACACGUGGAGGAGGAGAGCUGCAGGGCGAUGGAGGUCUGUGUGGAGGAGGAGAGCUGCAGGGCGAUGGAGGUCUGUGUGGAGGUGACACGUGGAGGAGGAGAGCUGCAGGGCGAUGGAGGUCUGUGUGGAGGUGACACGUGGAGGAGGAGAGCUGCAGGGCGAUGGAGGUCUGUGUGGAGGUGACACGUGGAGGAGGAGAGCUGCAGGGCGAUGGAGGUCUGUGUGGAGGUGACACGUGGAGGAGGAGAGCUGCAGGGGGAUGGAGGUCUGUGUGGAGGUGACACGUGGGGAAGGAGAGCUGCAGGGGGAUGGAGGUGACACGUGGAGGAGGAGAGCUGCAGGGCGAUGGAGGUCUGUGUGGAGGUGACACGUGGAGGAGGAGAGCUGCAGGGCGAUGGAGGUCUGUGUGGAGGUGACACGUGGAAGAGGAGAGCUGCAGGGAGAUGGAGGUC